UGUGCAAGGAAGAGCGGUCCAGGGAUAAAGGAUGGCUGGCGUACUCAGUCUCUGAGGUGGGGGAAAGCUUGGCUCGUCCAAGGAAUGGCAAUGGCAUGAAGACGGCCUUAAAUGAGGUAUCUCAUCUGAAGUUGACGGCCACUCUGUAAGGUCAGCGGAAAGGCAUUUCAAUCCCCUUGGUCAAGGCUACAGAGAUGGGGGUCCCCCCUCCUCGGUUUGCUCGCAGAGGUGGGUGUGAGAACCUAUAGGAGUGUCUGGAAGAGAUCCUGCGGAAGUCAUUUUGCCCAGAGCUGGAGGAGAAGCAAAAG